GUAGGUGGCAAGCGUUGUCCGGAAUUAUUGGGCGUAAAGCGCGCGCAGGCGGUCCUUUAAGUCUGAUGUGAAAGCCCCACGGCUCAACCGUGGAGGGUCAUUGGAAACUGGGGGACUUGAGUACAGAAGAGGAAAGCGGAAUUCCAAGUGUAGCGGUGAAAUGCGUAGAGAUUUGGAGGAACACCAGUGGCGAAGGCGGCUUUCUGGUCUGUAACUGACGCUGAGGCGCGAAAGCGUGGGGAGCAAACAGGAUUAGAUACCCUGGUAGUCCACGCCGUAAACGAUGAGUGCUAAGUGUUAGGGGGUUUCCCGCCCCCCUUAGUGCUGCAGCUAACGCAUUAAGCACUCCGCCUGGGGAGUACGGCCGCAAGGCUG
rnacentral:rRNA from 1 species